CGGCGGCGGCGGCGGCGGCGGCCCGGGCGCGCGCUUCCUAGUGACGCAGGCGGCGGGGCCGCGCACGCACGGGCAAGGGCGAGCCCUGAUAUUUAUUUGGCGCUCGGCCGGGAAGCGGGAGGUGCCGAGAAAUAAGGCCCGGCUGGGCCCGACGCGCAUGCGCGCGGGCGGGGGCGGGUCCGGAGGUGGGUGCUUCGGCCCCUUAGUUGGGCGGCUGCUCCGCGGCCCCGCCCCGCCCGCUGGCUCACCUGCCGGAACUGGCGGACACACACGCUCAGCGCGGACUUCCCGGGGAAAGGGUGCCUAGGGAGACGCGCUUAGGGUUGGCGAGAAAGAUGAUUGUCCGACGUUUGAAGCGACGUUUGUGAGGACGUAGGAGAAGUGCGAACACAUCACUGUGCGCGUCUCAGAGGUCUGAACUCGGGCUCACUUCAGCACCUCUUGAGGGGGACAGACACACAGAGGGAGAGGCAGAGACACAUGUGCUGCGUCCACAAACCAAGGAUAGCCGGUGUCCAGCAGAGCCCAGGCUCAAGUUCCCAGUCCCUGGGGAGGUCCCCACUGCGUGGAGGCUGGCACUGCUCGUCACAGCGCCAGCCACCUGCGGGGGAUAGAAGUCCAAACACUUCGUUCCUGGCAUCCUGACAUCCAGGUCGCCAAGGAGAGCGCGAGGCAGCCGAGCGGACAGGACAAGCUUUACUCAGGAGAGACGAGACCAGCAGAAAGAGAAACAGCUGCAGUGUGUACCGACUCUUGCCACCUUCCCUUCUACACAGCCACACCCGAGCUUGCCCGGCGAGGAUGCGUGAGGGGCUGGAGGGAGGCCCCGCUGGGACAGGCGUCUGUCUGUGCUUCCAUCUUGCCUGCCUUGCCGGACACCCUGUUUCACGGUGUGGGCCCACUGCCACCCCCAGGCACCGAGCCAGCACCCACUGUGUGCAGAACUCACAGGGUCAUCAACGCAGAGUGUCUGAGGUGGUUUUAAUACCUGUCCCCAGAGUCUGUGACAUUCCUCCUUUCCAAAGGUGGAGCCUCACCCACCCCCCCACCUUGAGGGUAGGCUGUUCUUAAUGACUCAACUUGUGCUUCCGUGACUAGUUCACGCCCAUGUGAGCCAGCCGACUUGGAAGUGGGUACUCCAACCCCACACAGCCUCCAGACAACCUCCACUGAUGUCCUGACUGCAGCCUCCUGAGAGGCUCUGUGCCAGAACCACCCAGCUCCCGAAGUCCUGACUCGACAGAAACGAUGUUUGUUGUUUUCAGCCACUGCUUGGACUCACUUGUUACACAGCAGUAGGUUACGAAUACAGCUCCAACUGGCUUCCCAGGAGUCCCCCGUUUGUUUGCUGCUCUUUGUUAAGGAGAAGCAUGAUUGCUUUUCUGCAAAGGAUUCCCCAUCAUCUCCCAACCUCAGAGGCUCCAUAUGGUGACUGCCCCUCAAUGCCUUACCAGGGCCGCCUAAGAGGUCCCCAUGUUGGGGCCAGAUCUGUGUCUGUGAACAGUCAGCUGCCCAACGGGGUCCACAGAGCCAUGGGACACACCCUGGGAUUCUAGGACCACCCCCCAUCCGAGCAAGACCCACAGCCAUGGUGAGAAGGGCAGGCCCCAGACCUCAGACCCUGACCUUCCUCUGCAGCGGCAAGCUGAGAGCCCGGCCCACAGGAGGGCGCAGCCCUGGGGGAGCUGGGGUGGCCCCACCUGCAGCAGAGGUCCCAGCCUCCUCCCUCCCACCCCCACUGUCUCCUGGGGCUCCGGAGGGUAAAGUGGGCUUGCGUGCUGUUUAUAUGCUCUUUUCUUAAAAUCGCCACUGUUGUGAGAACUGUUCGCAGUUGUGAUGACACGCAGGGGUGGGCUUUCCAGGGGGACGCUUGCACAGGCAGUGGCCUCGCAGCUCAUCUGACCCCACAGAUGCAGGACACACGCUGGGACAGUUCAACCGUUUCUUAAACACACACAUUUUUUUUAAUCGUUCAUUUAAUUGUUAAGUUCACUUUUACUACGUGGAUGAGAUGGGUGUGUAUUACACUAGGGCUUCUGCUAUGAGAGAGCUGCCACCGCUCCGAGAAAUCCAACCCUCAGUCCCCUUUCCGAGUCCCACAAAAGCCACCGGUGGGCACUGCUGGGUUCCAGUCCUGGCUUGUCACUCCCUUGGGGGCUGUCUCGGUGGGGAACGGGAGGGGGGCACAGGUCCCAACUUCCCCCGAAGCCCACUGCAAUGGAUCAGUACCCACCCGUGCUCCCUGGCUUGGCUCUGGGAGGUCACCAGCAGUGUCCCCGUAGGUUUCUGUAGGUCGAAAGCCAGGGGCACUGAGGGCUGCAAUCAUCUGGUUUCUGAGGCACUGGCUCUGGGUCCUGCCUGCAAGAAACGCCUCAUGCUUUCCACCAAGAGGCUGGCCAGCGAGGACUCGGCCCCAAGCACCCAGUCGUGGGGCGGGUCUGCCGUGGAGAAGAAGCUGCUGCUGUGUCCAAGCGGGUAGCCGUCCUCAAAGGCUGGCGCUGGGGGGUCUGGAGGUCCCCCCAGGCUGAGGGGGGGGGGGAGGAGCCCAGCCAAGGAGGGUCUUGGCAGGAGAUAGAGCCAGGCCUCCAACCUGCAGGCUGGCCAGAGUGGGCCACCAGCCAGGAAUGGAAGGAUGGAGCAGGUGAGGAGGUGGCUUGGGAACCCUGUCCCCUGCCCCCCGACAUCUGAAUCUUCAGGCCCUGGUCCCCCGCCCCCCAGUAUCUACUCAGGGCUCCCAGAGGGGCACUUGUGGCUGCCACCCACGCACACUGCACCACCUGUCCAGAGGUGAGCCUGAACGCCCUGUGGCCAGGAGCAGUGUGGGAGCAUCUUUUGACCAGAGCAGAGGGCACACGGGAGGGGACUGAGACUCCAAAAGGAUAUAAGGAGGGGUCCUCCGAGGGCAUCUGCAAAGCCUGGAGAAGGAGAGGAGGGACAGCGGGAGGCUGGCUUUCCCCGCACAGGUGCUGGGCCAGAAGGAAGAGGGCCCUUCUGGGAGGAGGGGCCAGCACGUGUCCACGCUGCCCACAACCGUCUAGAGCACGGCAGCUCGCUCACAGGUCCCUGGUGGAACACGCCCACUGCCCUGAAAACUCAGGCCAAGCCACACCCCACCACCGCUCCAAACAAGGACAAUGACCGAAGCUUCCCAGGCCAGCCGAGGGUGCCAACCUCAGGCCAGCGGGUCUCAGAGGGCCCCUGUGCCACCACGUUAAAGCGUGCUGCAGCUCCUACCCACCAGUUCCAAAAAGCACCACUGCACACGGGGUUCCCAGGGCUGGCCGGUGACAGGGUACCUGGCCCCCACUGCCCAGAGGUCCUUCUCUGUCCAAGUCUGUCUUCCUCCGCCCCCUCCUGCGUGCCCAGCCCCUCUCCCAGGGGAGGACAUCCAGGUGGAGGUGGCUCUGCCCGCCGGCAGGAGCUGCCUCAGAAGACAUGCCCUAAGUGACAAGGUGCUCACAGCACAACCCAGCACAAGGACCUGCGUGUUCCUGCCACCAUCGCUGGAUUUACUGAGGUCGCCACCACGUCCACUAAGAGUGCUGCCAAGAGGGGAGCCAGCCACCGCCAGCCUGGGGCCUGAACUGAGGGACUGUGUGCCACGCCCUGGGGGCUCCACAGGGACAGCCUGUGGUCAAGGCCUUGCCACGAGGACUGGACAGCUCGGAACGCAGAAAGAGAAGCUGAAGCUGGGAGCACAGGAGGGGAGGGAGGAGCGGGAGCAAAAGCUGCAUCUAGACAAAGUCGAACAAAACAAAACCAAAA